rnacentral:rRNA from 1 species
AUUGAACGCUGGCGGCAGGCCUAACACAUGCCAGUCGAACGGUAACAGGAAGAAGCUUGCUUCUUUGCUGACGAGUGGCGGACGGGUGAGUAAUGUCUGGGAAACUGCCUGAUGGAGGGGGAUAACUACUGGAAACGGUAGCUAAUACCGCAUAACGUCGCAAGACCAAAGAGGGGUACCUUCGGGCCUCUUGCCAUCGGAUGUGCCCAGAUGGGAUUAGCUAGUAGGUGGGGUAACGGCUCACCUAGGCGACGAUCCCUAGCUGGUCUGGGAGGAUGACCAGCCACACUGGAACUGAGACACGGUCCAGACUCCUACGGGAGGCAGCAGUGGGGAAUAUUGCACAAUGGGCGCAAGCCUGAUGCAGCCAUGCCGCGUGUAUGAAGAAGGCCUUCGGGUUGUAAAGUACUUUCAGCGGGGAGGAAGGGAGUAAAGUUAAUACCUUUGCUCAUUGACGUUACCCGCAGAAGAAGCACCGGCUAACUCCGUG